UUUUUUUUUUUUUUUUUUUUUUUUUAAUAUAUCUGUGAGUGUCUAAGUCCACUUGCACGCAACUCGACUAAUCUACGAGACAACUGCCCAACCCUACUACAUUUGGUUGUAAAAAAAAUGGUAUCUACCAUAAAUUGAACUAGUUCUCUCUAAGUUUUCUGGUCCUUGCAACUCUUGAUGGUUAUAGCCACAAACAUUUUGAGAUUGAACCUUGCAUGCUUAACAAAAAUUCUGUUGAUGCAUGGACGAUUGUGGUAGACUAUAGUUUCAAAGAUUGCAAAACACUAGAUUUCGGAACUCUUGGAACACAAUGGCUAUUAAAACAAAGGAAUUGUGGUAUGUUCUAAAUAUGGAGAAUAAAAAUUUCUAUGGACUAACAUAUUUUAUGGUCACGUGAAUGUUUCAUUAUUCCAAACUUUCAAGUACAGCAAGCUGUGGAAGGAAAAAAGAAAAAGAGUUAACCUGAAGGGUUUUCUAUCAAGGAAGAUGGCUUGCUGGAAACCAGAGCAGGUUCUCUAGAACCUUUUUGUGGGCAUUUUUGCAAGUGGAUGGUUGAAAGAAAGCAAUCUCGAUGCUGUCAAAUUAAGGAAGAUUGUGUUCUAUUUGACAUGUGACCCAUUGACCCCGCCAGCAACUGAGGUAUUUUUUAUGCUUUAAAAAGAAUUGCAAAUUGGUAUUCAAAUUUGGUACUUCUUUUUUUGUUUUUCCAAUGAAUGUCUGAACAUGUUUAGCUUUUAAGUACAGAAAUGAUCCGAUGCUGUUUGCAAUAAAUUAAUGAGGCAUUUAGUCACUAAUACAUUGGACUUACCUUUUCUUUAUUAUUAACUUUCAGACAUCUUAAUCUCCUCGAAAUGU